GUGGAAGAACAUUGCAGGUCGCCUGGCUCAGUGCUGUAUAUGCUGGAACUCAGCUGUCCCUUCCUGCAGGAAAGCUUCACUCUAUGCUGGUGACGCUCCCUCCAUCCUGUUUAGCCCCCCAGACUGAAAGCCACUUGAGACCUGAAACUGCCUGUGCCUUGUUCAUCAUUUUAUCCCCUUCGUCUAGUCCAGUACUGUCACAAAGAAGGCACUUUACGCUGGUUAGAAACAUUUCUCUUCUCCCUACGAGGGC